rnacentral:misc_RNA from 1 species
GAUGAAGAACGCAGCGAAAUGCGAUAAGUAGUGUGAAUUGCAGAAUUCAGUGAAUCAUCGAAUCUUUGAACGCACAUUGCGCCCUUUGGUAUUCCUUAGGGCAUGCCUGUACGAGCGUCAUUUAAACCUUCAAGCUAAGCUUGGUGUUGGGUGACUGUCCGCUUCACGGCGGACUCGCCUCAAAAUUAUUGGCGGCCGGUACAUUGGCUUCGAGCGCAGCAGAAACGCGAACUCGGGCCCGUCGUAUUGGCUCCCAGAAGCUAUCUUCACAAUUUUGACCUCGGAUCAGGUAGGGAUACCCGCUGAACUUAAGCAUAUCAAUAAGCGGAGGA